rnacentral:lncRNA from 1 species
GGGUAUGUGACGUCAUCCGUUGGCAGCCAUCGGCCGCCGAGACUCGGUCGAGAGAGAGAGAGAAAAAAAGAGAGGCUGCUCUUCUACCGACAGCAAGUCAGGCGUGGAAACGAUUCACAGGUCACUGGCACUGGUUACAAUAUAGGAUAUACUCACUGAGCGUGUUCAUGAGUGGAGUACUCUGAUGUACAAAACAUAUUUCCUGCCUCUGCUCGCUAGUACAGCAACUACAUUUGCUAUAGCUGCUGCAACUAGUACUACUUUCUACUAACUGAGAAGCAGGGCAUGACGGCAGCAUCUGUGGAUCAUCAGCUUACAUCUGGUACUACAGGCCCGACUGGUAGAGGGCAGGACAAAAUGGCUGGAUGCAAACCAUCAAAUAGUUGGCUUUCUACGACUGUUGUGUCGAUUACAAAAGCUGCUGAUGACGAUGGUGGAGAAGGGGGAAGCGACAACAAAAUAUCCGAGUCGAAAAUAUCAAGGUAAGCAACUCCAGCACCUCCAAAGCCGCAAUAAAACUAGUUGUUUCCCUUGGACUGUAUGCCACUGAACCCGCUGUUUCGGGUUUACUAGUCUUCUGAUGUUCAUUCAUAUUACACAAAUGAGUUUUUAUGAAAGGUAAAAGAAAGGAAUGACAACAUAAAGCGCAAAAGUUUUGACUGCAUCACUUGCUGCUCUGAAUGAGUUGGUAAUGUUUGUAAAUAGAAUAUGAUUAUAGUAUAAAGUAAAAUACAAAUAUUUUCCAACAUCAAAUUUCCAAAACAUGAAACAAUCAAAUGUAGCUGUCAUGAAAUUUAUUCAUAUUUCAUGAACUGAACAAUGUAUGUCACACACAUAAACUCACUUCAUGGUUUCCCUAAUCUUGCUAAAAUAUCACAUUUAUUGCUAAAAACAUCAGAAAUAUGAAGAAAAUAUAUAUUCCUACAGAAUGUUUGCAACACUGGGAUGGGAAGAGGAUGGGAAGUAGAAGGGUUUACUAAACUGCUUAACAUCCUACAGCAGAUUACCUAAACAACAAUAAAGUCUACACUCAGGAGUCCAGGCACUCUCAAUAAUUUUUCAUUAUCUAUUUACACAAUCAGUUUGCACCAUAAUGCAGCUGCUGUUACUGAAGACUGGUUUUAUGUCCCCCAACUACCAGAAUAAUAAAUGUUACAUAUUCCAGUUUAGAUUUAAAAAAAAAUCAGCACAAGACAUAUAUAACAAGACAGGUUGCUUUGCAAAUAACAAUCACAAUAAAAUCUGGCUCUAAUAUAUAUUUAACUGAUUUUUACUUGGGACACCAAUUUUUUUUUUAAAGACCAGUAGUUCUAAAAAAAUUCCAAGAGAUUGUUAAAUUACCAAGCUGUUACUAGUGCUUCUGUCCAAUAUUCUUACACAUGACCUAACACUUAGAUUUAAAACAGAUUUUACUUCUACAUCCGUUUGGGUAAUUACUGGAAUUUUAAAAUUUACUACCAAUUCAGUAAGUCUCUUACUCACAUAAUAGGCGGUGAAUGUUUGUAAAGAAAGGAUACAUAAAAAGCUUUGUGGUCAUUGAACCAAGAUUAUAAAUGAUUGCUGAGUACCAGAUUCUUUCCAAUCUCUUAUAUUAAAAAAAAAAAAAA